CAGAUUACAACGUUCGGCGACAGAAGAUUGGAGGAGGCCGCCCCACCGGCCGGGCUCGGAUCCACCGCAUCAACCCGCCCCGGGAGCACCCGGGUCUCUUUCCCCCGGAUUGCAACAACCGACCAUGACUAUCGGUUCAGUUUAAAUACGCAUGCAUAACCUGGGAUUGUAGACGAUAUGCUCACUGACUAUAGAGAGAUUCGAACCAAGGCAAGAUGAACUUUGAGAUUGAAAGGGAUGACAAGGUUCGGAAUGAUGUACGCACAAAAGUAAUCCAGAAGGGUGUUCGACAAUAAUGCUGCAACUAAAGAAGGAUUACUUCAAUGGUUAUACUGCUGAAGAAGUGUUAUCCAAUAAGCCACCUAAUAGUACUUACGAGAAUUGGAUCAAGCACCUUCUUUUCCAGCAUGGGGUAUGCACCAAGAUACUGUAGUUCUGGGAGCUCUCCUUCAUCAGCACAGAUCCGUGUUGUAGAAGAGAUAAUGGAACAAAAUCAUAGAGGCAUCGAGAGGAGUUAGGUGCAAGACUUGAAUCACAAGAUAGAGAAUUUGAAGAAAUUCACAGGGAGCAUCAAGAAGAAGCGAAAGGAGACAUAUAACCU